CCUACGGGAGGCAGCAGUGAGGAAUAUUGGUCAAUGGACGAGAGUCUGAACCAGCCAAGUAGCGUGAAGGAUGACUGCCCUAUGGGUUGUAAACUUCUUUUAUAUGGGAAUAAAAUGUUCCACGUGUGGGAUUUUGUAUGUACCAUAUGAAUAAGGCUCGGCUAACUCCGUGCCAGCAGCCGCGGUUAUACGGAGGAGCCGAGCGUUAUCCGGAUUUAGUGGGUUGAAAGGGAGUGUAGGUGGAUAGUUAAGUCAGUUGUGAAAGUUUGCGGCUCAACCGUAAAAUUGCAGUUGAAACUGGCAGUCUUGAGUACAGGAGAGGUGGGCGGAAUUCGUGGUGUAGCGGUGAAAUGCUUAGAUAUCACGAAGAACUCCGAUUGCGAAGGCAGCUCACUGGACUGCAACUGACACUGAGGCUCGAAAGUGUGGGUAUCAAACAGGAUUAGAUACCCCUGUAGUC
rnacentral:rRNA from 1 species